AGGGAACGUUUGUAUGUAGCUUAUAGGGCGUGUGGUGUGGUGGAGUAGCAUCGGUAAGGGCUGUAACGGUAGGUCCGGGUCCGCGAUGCUCUGAAUUUUGGAAUGAAUUUGUUUCCAGUACUGCUGGAUUGUAGGGCACGACCACCAAAUAUGGAAGUCUGUCCCACCCUCGGCUCUGCACCUCCAGCAGACGUCAGGAAUUUCUCGGUUCAUGCGAUG